rnacentral:rRNA from 1 species
CGUAACGAUUUGGGCACUGUCUCAACAACAGACUCGGUGAAAUUGUAAUUCCGGUGAAGAUGCCGGAUACCUGCGACAGGACGGAAAGACCCCAUGGAGCUUUACUGUAGCUUGACAUUGGGUCUUGGUACUACAUGUACAGGAUAGGUGGGAGGCUUUGAAACCAGGACGCCAGUUUUGGCGGAGCCAUCCUUGGGAUACCACCCUUGUAGUACUGGGACUCUAACCAUAGGCCAUGAAUCUGGUCUUGGGACACUGUCAGGUGGGCAGUUUGACUGGGGCGGUCGCCUCCCAAAAGGUAACGGAGGCGCUCAAAGGUUCUCUCAGUACGGUCGGAAAUCGUACGUAGAGUGUAAAGGCAAAAGAGAGCUUGAUUGCAA